rnacentral:rRNA from 1 species
UAAAACGUAGGUGGCGAGCGUUAUCCGGAUUUACUGGGCGUAAAGCGUGUGCAGGCGGCCUGUCAAGUGGUGUAUGAAAUAUCCAGGCUCAACCUGGAGGGGUUAUGCCAGACUGGCAGGCUAGAGUGCGAGAGAGGGGCGUGGAAUUCCGGGUGUAGUGGUGAAAUGCGUAGAGAUCCGGAGGAACC